rnacentral:rRNA from 1 species
CGGCAAAAGCUCAAAUUUGAAAUCUGCGUAAGCCGAGUUGUAAUUUGAAGAUGGCUACUUUGGUAAUGGCUCUUGUCUAUGUUCCUUGGAACAGGACGUCACAGAGGGUGAGAAUCCCGUGCGAUGAGAUGUCCAUUACCGUGUAAAGUGCUUUCGAAGAGUCGAGUUGUUUGGGAAUGCAGCUCUAAGUGGGUGGUAAAUUCCAUCUAAAGCUAAAUAUUGGCGAGAGACCGAUAGCGAACAAGUACAGUGAUGGAAAGAUGAAAAGAACUUUGAAAAGAGAGUGAAAAAGUACGUGAAAUUGUUGAAAGGGAAGGGCUUGAGAUCAGACUUGGUAUUUUGUAUGGCUUGCUUUCGGGCGGGUCCUCUGCAGUUUACUGGGCCAGCAUCGGUUUGGGUGGCAGGAUAAUAGCGAAGGAAUGUGGCUCUACUUCGGUGGAGUGUUAUAGCC